AUAAAGGGCAACAAAAGGACACCUGAGCGUUUUGUGGGUCGUGAGGCUGUUGUUACAACUCAGUGCUUGAAUGGAUGGUAUGUUGUAAAGACAUUAGAUAAUGCUGAGAGUGUAAAGUUGCAAUACCGCUCCCUAGCCAAGGUUCCUGAGAAUUUAUCAAUCCAGCCAAUAUCAAGUAAGGUGGCAGCCUGGCUGUAGAGUUCCAUCCAGCAGAACGAUUAUGACUCUCUCGUCCUAACUUAUUGCACAUACUCCAUGUUUGAUACAUAUAGUCUUACUACAACAAGCAUUGUGUUUUUUUCAGU
rnacentral:misc_RNA from 1 species